UCCAUAAAGUCUGACGCUUCUGUUGCGGACCUGUGGAAGGAAGACUGGUUCACUGACGUCAGUUUCCUUAUAGUCGUUGUUUUCAGUUCUUCCAAAAUAUGGACGAAAAAACUUCACACGAGAUCACCAGUCGUUUUAUUGUACCAGGGAACGCACCGGAUAAAGUGAUAGAGACCUACUCUGAAUGGGCUCAACAUUAUGAUGAGAUUUGUGAUUCAUUGAAUUACAUUGGCCCCAAAUUAGCAGCCAAUGAGGUGGCAGCCAGAAUACCUCAAGAGAAGCGAGGCGCCUUGAAAGUCAUUGACGUUGCUGCUGGGACGGGAAGAGUUGGUCGACUGCUGAGAGACAAAGGGUUCUCAAACAUUGACGCCCUAGAGCCAUCAAAGG